GGGGGAGUCAACAUGGCAGUCGAACGGACUUAUAACGAAACCUAGUGAAUUAUAAGUUAGUGGCGGACGGGUGAGUAACGCUGUGGAAAACCUGCCGUAUACUGGGGGAUAACACUUAGAAAUAGGUGCUAAUACCGCAUAAGCGCACAGCUUCGCAUGAAGCAGUGUGAAAAACUCCGGUGGUAUACGAUGGUUCCGCGUCUGAUUAGCUAGUUGGUGAGGUAAAAGCCCACCAAGGCAACGAUCAGUAGCCGGCCUGAGAGGGUGAACGGCCACAUUGGGACUGAGACACGGCCCAGACUCCUACGGGAGGCAGCAGUGGGGGAUAUUGCACAAUGGGGGAAACCCUGAUGCAGCGACGCCGCGUGAGUGAAGAAGUAUUUCGGUACGUAAAGCUCUAUCAGCAGGGAAGAAUAAUGACGGUACCUGACUAAGAAGCCCCGGCUAACUACGUGCCAGCAGCCGCGGUAAUACGUAGGGGGCAAGCGUUAUCCGGAUUUACUGGGUGUAAAGGGAGCGUAGACGGCUGUGCAAGUCUGAAGUGAAAUGCCGGGGCUCAACCCCGGAACUGCUUUGGAAACUGUACAGCUAGAGUGCAGGAGGGGUGAGCGGAAUUCCUAGUGUAGCGGUGAAAUGCGUAGAUAUUAGGAGGAACACCGGUGGCGAAGGCGGCUCACUGGACUGUAACUGACGUUGAGGCUCGAAAGCGUGGGGAGCAAACAGGAUUAGAUACCCCGGUAGUCCACGCCGUAAACGAUGAUUACUAGGUGUCGGGGGGCCAAGGCCCUUCGGUGCCGGCGCAAACGCAUUAAUUAUUCCACCUGGGGAGUACGUUCGCAAGAAUGAAACUCAAAGGAAUUGAAGGGGACCCGCACAAGCGGUGGAGCAUGUGGUUUAUUC
rnacentral:rRNA from 1 species